AGAGCUCCAAGUGGGCCAUUUU
rnacentral:snRNA from 1 species